AACGCAUAUUGCGCCCUCUGGUAUUCCGGGGGGCAUGCCUGUCCGAGCGUCAUUACUACCUUCAAGCACGGCUUGUGUGUUGAGCAUUUUGUUCCAUUUUCAGUGAACAAUGCUUGAAAUGCAGUGGCGAUGCCUUAAAUUGGUUGCCUGAACGUAUAGGGCUAUGUCACACGUUCUUGUGGCUCCAGUUGUGCAUUUUGUUCCAACUUCUAAAAAAUCUCGAAUUGACCUCGGAUCAGGUAGGAAUACCCGCUGAACUUAA
rnacentral:misc_RNA from 1 species